rnacentral:rRNA from 1 species
UACGAAGGGGGCUAGCGUUGCUCGGAAUGACUGGGCGUAAAGGGCGCGUAGGCGGUUCGUACAGUCAGACGUGAAAUUCCCGGGCUCAACCUGGGGGCUGCGUUUGAUACGUACGGGCUUGAGUUCGGAAGAGGGUCGUGGAAUUCCCAGUGUAGAGGUGAAAUUCGUAGAUAUCGGGAGGAACACCGGUGGCGAAGGCGGCGACCUGGGUAGAUACUGACGCUGAGGCGCGAAAGCGUGGGGAGCAAACAGG